UGAGGAAUAUUGGUCAAUGGGCGAGAGCCUGAACCAGCCAAGUCGCGUGAAGGAAGACAGUCCUAAGGAUUGUAAACUUCUUUUAUACGGGAAUAACGGGCGAUACGAGUAUUGCAUUGAAUGUACCGUAAGAAUAAGCAUCGGCUAACUCCGUGCCAGCAGCCGCGGUAAUACGGAGGAUGCGAGCGUUAUCCGGAUUUAUUGGGUUUAAAGGGUGCGUAGGUUGUUCGGUAAGUCAGCGGUGAAACCUGAGCGCUCAACGUUCAGCCUGCCGUUGAAACUGCCGGGCUUGAGUUCAGUGGCGGCAGGCGGAAUUCGUGGUGUAGCGGUGAAAUGCAUAGAUAUCACGAGGAACUCCGAUUGCGAAGGCAGCUUGCCAUACUGCGACUGACACUGGAGCACGAAGGCGUGGGUAUCAAACAGGAUUAGAUACCCUGGUAGUCCACGCAGUAAACGAUGAUUACUAGGAGUUUGCGAUAUACCGUCAAGCUUCCACAGCGAAAGCGUUAAGUAAUCCACCUGGGGAGUACGCCGGCAACGGUG
rnacentral:rRNA from 1 species